rnacentral:tRNA from 16 species
GGGGAUAUGGUGUAGGGGUAUCACGUUCGCUUUGCAUGCGAAAGGCCGGGGGUUCAAAUCCCUCUGUCUCCA